UGGAUCAACCCAUCACAGGUAUCUUCUGCCCAGUGAAAUUUUAACGGCCACAGUACCCUGACUGUGCAAAGGUAGCAUAAUCAUUUGCCAUUUAAUUGAUGGCUAGAAUGAAUGAAAAUAUGAGGGAAACAUUUUAUUACUCUCCUAACUCAAAAUUAGUACCCAAGUGAAAAACCUUGGAUCCUCCUGAAAGACAAAAAGACCCUAAUGAAACUUAAAAAUCCACGCUUGUAAUAUUAAGCUCUCGUUUUUAGCUGGGACGGCUAAAGAGCAACUAAAACCUCUCUAGAAAACCUAAGACCUAAAGUCAUACAAAUGAUCCCUCUUCGACUCAUCAACAAAAAGUUAUCCAUAGGGAUAACAGGCUAAUUCUUCCCCAGAGCCCAAAUCAACGGAAGAGUUUGGCACCUCGAUGUUGGCUUAGGAAAACUUUAUGCUGCAGCAAGUAUAAAAGUUGGUUUGUUCAACCAUUAAACUCCUACGUGAUCUGAAG
rnacentral:rRNA from 1 species